rnacentral:rRNA from 1 species
CACGUAGGGCGCAAGCGUUGUCCGGAAUUAUUGGGCGUAAAGGGCGCGUAGGCGGCGCCACAAGUCACUUGUGAAAACUCUGGGCUCAACUCAGAGCCUGCAGCGAAACUGUGGUGCUGGAGUAUGGGAGAGGUGCGUGGAAUUCCCGGUGUAGCGGUGAAAUGCGUAGAUAUCGGGAGGAACGACCUGUGGCGAAAGCGGCGCACUGGACCAUAACUGACGCUGAGGCGCGAAAGCUAGGGGAGCAAACAGG